UCCCGUGUGGCUCAGUUGGUAGAGCAUGGUGCUUACAAUGUCAGAAUUGUGGGUUCAAUUCCCACAAGGGAC
rnacentral:tRNA from 1 species